rnacentral:rRNA from 1 species
UACGUAGGGUGCGAGCGUUGUCCGGAAUUACUGGGCGUAAAGAGCUCGUAGGUGGUUUGUCGCGUCGUCUGUGAAAUUACGGGGCUUAACUCCGGGCGUGCAGGCGAUACGGGCAUAACUUGAGUACUGUAGGGGAGACUGGAAUUCCUGGUGUAGCGGUGAAAUGCGCAGAUAUCAGGAGGAACACCGGUGGCGAAGGCGGGUCUCUGGGCAGUAACUGACGCUGAGGAGCGAAAGCAUGGGUAGCGAACAGGAUUAGAUACCCUGGUA